AGAGGAUGUUGCAUCAGCCAGCCUCAUGGUGAGGGUCCCACAGAGACAACUAGCAGAUGGCCCCACUAACAAGCAAAGAAAAGACUGCUCGCUACAGGCAGCGGAUCAAUGCAGAUCCUGUAGCAAGAGCUGACUAUCUUGCCAGGAAAAAAGAAAGCUACCAGAGAAGAAAGCAAAAGGGCACAAUCAAAUGCAUGAAGUCAGAUGAACUAUCAUAGAGAGAGAGGAAAAACAGAAAGCCAAGUGGAAGGCUGCAUCAAAAGGUUACAGGGAGAGGAAGAAGAUAGAAAAGGCGAUGCUGGAAAUGACACCACCAUCCUUAGAAAACACCCCACCAGUUUUAGUUGGUAUAGGGCUUUAUGAGCAGCAGGAGAAUCCAGGGCAAAUUGUGGUGAAUCCCCUACCUCUAGUGGAGGAAUUUAAUCCACCGAUGUCUACACCAGAGAGAGAAAGAGAGAAAACACCAGAGAAACGAGAAAGAAAGAGAAAGAGACUGCAGGCUCAGAAUCGUAAACUACGUGAGGAGAACCGAAAACUGGAAGAAAAACUAGCAGAGAUGAUAAAGGAAAAUGCUGUUCAAUGUUAUGUCCAAGCGUUUAAUGCAUUAGUAUUGAAAAUAUUAAUAUGAUGUUUAUGUGUCAAAUGAAAUAGUGAGGAAACUGUUAAUGUUAUGAAAUGUGUCAAAUGAAAUGGAUAUGCUGAUUCUUUAUAAAAUUUCAUUAAAUGUGUUUUAACUAUCAAAAUCAUUGAAUAGUCUUAAUUGCCUGCUGUUUUUCAUCAUGUGGGGCGACCACUUGUCAUGUGGGGUAACCAACCAUAUUCAAUUCU